UCUGCCCAUAGCACCUGGCCUCCUGCAGUCAUCAGCAAACACUUGUCCUGCCCUUGUAAAUAGUUUUGGACGAAUGAAGGAUAUGGUUAAAGACCAAACGAAAGUAAUAUACAUGGAUUGUGAAGCACAUAAAGAAGAAAGAAGAAAAGAAGGACAAAAAAGGAAGAAAAGAAAGAGAAGAAGGAAAGAAAAGAAAGGCAAGCAAACAGCAUGGGAGAGUUUAGUAUUGAGGAAAAGUGGGU
rnacentral:lncRNA from 1 species